rnacentral:rRNA from 1 species
UUGGGAAUCUUGCACAAUGGGGGAAACCCUGAUGCAGCGACGCCGCGUGGAGGAUGAAGGAUCUAGGUCUGUAAACUCCUUUUUCAGGGAAAGACUUAGGACGGUACCCUGAGAAUAAGGACCGGCUAACUACGUGCCAGCAGCCGCGGUAAGACGUAGGGUCCAAGCGUUGUCCGGAUUUACUGGGCGUAAAGAGCGCGUAGGCGGCUCGUUAAGUGUGAAGUGAAAUCUCCAGGGCUCAACCCGGAAACUGCUUCGCAUACUGGCGAGCUGGAGUGACGAAGAGGUUUGUGGAAUUCCUGGUGUAGCGGUGAAAUGCGUUGAUAUCAGGAGGAACACCGAUGGCGAAGGCAGCAAACUGGUCGUCAACUGACGCUGAGGCGCGAAAGCGUGGGUAGCAAACA